UAGAGGCUUUUGGAGCAUCAGAUUGACCCAGAAUUCCCCAUCAUUGUUUUCUGUGCAUCUUUCCCUUCCCUUGCCAUUAGAAUUUCAAUUUAAAAAGCAAUGAUUAGACCUUAAAAUGAGCCCAGAGGAGGCGAAAACGAGCUGUGAGGUCCAGGAAAAAGGUAAGUCCUCCGCAGAUAUCCCCACACCAAUUAAUUUUCUUUCCUUCUUUCUCUCUGUUCAUCCCCAGCGCUACCCUGGAGGAAAAGGAUCAAGAAUCUCAGUUCGGGAUCCUUCCUCCCUGAGCCUUCGAGCUAAGCCCACUGCCCACCGCCAAAGGCUGCCGCGGCGGAUCCGGGGCUCUUUCGGUCUCGCCGGCCGGCUGCGGCGCCGCCUUACGCUCCCGGUCUCCCUGUCUCCCUCCAUUCUUGCGUCACCCCUCCCCUAGACCAACAAAUAUCCAAUAUAUUUGUUUCUCCUCACCCCAGGCCUCCGCGCAGCCCGCUCAGCGCUCGGGGAUCGCUGCCCCCGCACCGGGUCCUUACGCGCUUUGCUUCCAGUCCCACCGACUACAGCCUCUUUCUUUGCUAGCUGCCCGGGUCCUGCUCCGCUUCGCAGUGGAAUGGAACGGAUUUAGAAGCCUGCAGUAGGGGAGUGGGGAGUGGAGAGAGGCAGCCCAGAGUUACAGACAGCGGCGAGAGAUACAGAAGACCGGGAGAUACAGAGAAAAAGAGAGGCGGGGGAGGGGAGGAGGAGGAAGGAGGGAGGGAAGGGUUCCCAGCUGGCGAGGAGCGGAGCCAGAGAGAGAAAAAGAGAGAAAAGUUUCCCAAAGUCUUCAUUAGUUGAUUUCCCUGUCCGCCGCUUUCCCCGGCCGGCUCACCCCCAGUAAAGGAAGGAGGGGCGUCUUUAUUUUUUUUAAGGCCCCAAAGAGUCCGAUGUUUACAAGACCAGAAAUGCCACGGCCGCGUCCUGGCAGAGAAAAGGCUGAAAUGGAGGACCGGCGCCUUCCUUAUAAGUUCAUUGGGGCCUGAGCCAGCACCGACCUGGUAGAAAAAGCAACCACGAAGCUAGAGAGAGAGCCAGAGGAGGGAAGAGAGCACCAGACCAAGGUGAAAGUGAACCACGCAGAGAAAUACAGGCAAGGGAGCAAGGCGGCAGUUACCGGAACAAACGUGGCAGAGGGCAAGACAGGCACUCACAGACAGAGGUUUAUGUAUUUUUAUUUUUUUUAAAUCUGAUUUGGCGUUCCAUGAGGAAAAGGGAAAAUCUGGGGAACAGGAGUACAGAGAGAAUUAUCCGGGUCCUAGCUCGCCACAUGAACGCCCAGAAGGAGAGAACGCUGGAAAAACCUGAGCGGGUGCCCGGGCAGCACCCGGCUCCGGUCAGCCGCUACCCCACACGGUGCCGGGAUGGGCCCACCAACUCCCCCCUCGCGGCCACCCGGGCUUCCUUGCUCUUCUUAUCAUCUCCAUCUUUAUGACGAGGCUUGUUAACAAGACCAGCGAGCUCGCCACGCACAUCUAUCUCAACCGCGCCUGCUCAGCCGAGCAGCGGCCGGCGCGGGGACUGGGAGGCGCUAAUUAAUUGAUUCCUUUGGACUGUAAAAUAUGGCGGUGUCUACACGGAAUCCAUGGACUCAUAAACAAUAUCUCUGUUGGGCGUGAGUGCACUGUCUCUCAAAGAAUUUUUCCAUAGGCAUGUGUCAGAGGGUUCUGGAUUUUUAGUUGCUAAGAAAAAACCCAAAUGGGACUAAUUUUAGGAGGCCCAAACAGAGUUCGUUCAGUGCCAGAAAAUGCUUCCCCAAAGGGGUUGGGAGUGUUUUGUUGGAAAAAUCCUUGGGUUAUAGGAAAGCCUUUCCAUGCUACUUGUGUAGACCCAGCCCAGUUUAAUAAUUACAAGGAAGCGAAGGGGUUGUGUAGGCCGGAAGCCUUUCUGUCCCGGCUGGAUGCAGGGGACUUGAGCUGCUCUGGGAUUUGAGAGGAACAUAGAAGCAGAGGUCCAGCCUUUGCUUCAUGCUGCCUCCUAAAGAUUCAAAAACAAAUUUUUAAAAGUGAAACCAGCCCUAGCCUUCGGAAGCUCUUGAAGUCUCAGCACCCACCCAGGAAUCCACCUGCCUGUUACACGCCUCUCCAAGCCACUGUGGCACCGCUUUUCUAACUGGCAGCACAGAGCAACUCUAUAAUAUGCUUAUAUUAGGUCUAGAAUAAUGCAUCUUGAGACACGUGGGUAACCUAAUUAUAUAAUGCUUAUUCCAUACAGGAGUGAUUAUGCAGUGGGACCCUGUUGCAAACGGGACUUUGCACUCUAAAUAUAGACCCCAGCUUGGGACAAAAGUUGCAACAGAUAAAUAGACAUAAGGGAACACUUAAAUAAGUAAUGCAUGUAGACAUAGAAGGGGUAUUUAAAAGACAGAUAUAAUAGAAGCACAGAAGAACAGAAAAAAGACUCAGCAGAUGGAGAUUACCAUUCCCAAAGCCUGAACUUCCUCCUGCUAUUAAGAUUGCUAGAGAAUUGUGCCUUAUGAACAGUUCAUGAACCCAGAAGAAUGCAAUUUCAAUGUAUUUAGUCCACACACAGUAUGUAUAUAAACACAACUCACAGAAUAUAUUUUCCAUACAUUGGGUAGGUAUGCACUUUGUGUAUAUAUAAUAAUGUAUUUUCCAUGCAGUUUUAAAAUGUAGAUAUAUUAAUAGCUGGAUGCAUUUUCUAUGCACUGGUUUUAUAUGCCUUAUGGAGUAUAUACUCACAUGUAGCUAAAUAGACUCAGGACUGCACAUUCCUUGUGUAGGAUGUGUGUGUGUGGUGGUUAUAUGUGUAAAUAAAGUUUUACAUGUGGUGAAUA